GACGAACGCUGGCGGCGUGCCUAAUACAUGCAAGUCGAACGAACCGCGACUAGGUGCUUGCACUUGGUCAAGGUGAGUGGCGAACGGGUGAGUAACACGUGGGUAACCUACCUCAUAGUGGGGGAUAACAGUCGGAAACGACUGCUAACACCGCAUAGGACAUGGGAUCACAUGAUUCUGUGAGGAAAGGUGGCGCAAGCUAUCGCUAAGAGAUGGACCCGCGGUGCAUUAGCUAGUUGGUAGGGUAAGGGCCUACCAAGGCGAUGAUGCAUAGCCGACCUGAGAGGGUGAUCGGCCACAUUGGGACUGAGACACGGCCCAAACUCCUACGGGAGGCAGCAGUAGGGAAUCUUCCGCAAUGGACGCAAGUCUGACGGAGCAACGCCGCGUGAGUGAAGAAGGUCUUCGGAUCGUAAAGCUCUGUUGUUAGAGAAGAACAGCGCAUAGAGUAACUGUUAUGCGUGUGACGGAUCUACCAGAAAGC
rnacentral:rRNA from 1 species